UGGCAGCACGAGUCCCACAACUGGAGUGAAGGUAUGGAGGGCUAUCAGCUGUUCAGGAGGCUCAGGCAGGACCAGUGAGGUUGAAGCGUUGCACUGUAUGCUAAUCAUCUUUUGAGAGCUCAGGAGCAGACAAUCCCACUGUGUCACAAGACAAACAAGAGAGGAAUACUGACCUGAAUGAACAGGGAACUCCUCCUGGAACCAGGGCAGAAAAAUAAAAUAUAUCACCUCUGGAA